UACGAAGGGGGCUAGCGUUGUUCGGAAUCACUGGGCGUAAAGCGCUUGUAGGCGGACUGUUAAGUCGGGGGUGAAAUCCCGGAGCUCAACUCCGGAACUGCCUUUGAUACUGGCGACCUUGAGGCUGGAAGAGGUUAGUGGAAUUCCCAGUGUAGAGGUGAAAUUCGUAGAUAUUGGGAAGAACACCAGUGGCGAAGGCGGCUAACUGGUCCAGAUCUGACGCUGAGGUGCGAAAGCGUGGGGAGCAAACAGG
rnacentral:rRNA from 1 species